CCCUUAGAUGUCCUGGGCCGCACGCGCGUUACACUGAUGCAUUCAACGAGCUUAUAACCUUGGCCGAGAGGCCUGGGCAAUCUUGUUAACGUGCAUCGUGAUAGGGAUAGAUUAUUGAAAUUAUUAAUCUUGAACGAGGAAUUCCUAGUAAACGCAGAUCAUCAAUCUGCAUUGAUUACGUCCCUGCCCUUUGUACACACAGCCCGUCGCACCUACCGAUUGGAUGGUCCGGUGAAGCCUCGGGAUUGUGGUUCUUGCCGCUUUAUUGUGGCGUGACCGCGAGAACUUGUCUAAACCUUAUCAUCUAGAGGAAGGUGAAGUCGUAACA
rnacentral:rRNA from 1 species